ACAAGCGGUGGAGCAUGUGGUUUAAUUCGACGAUACGCGAAGAACCUUACCUGGCCUUGACAUACUAAAAAGCUUUAAGAGAUUAGAGUGUGCUAGCUUGCUAGAAUUUAGAUACAGGUGCUGCACGGCUGUCGUCAGCUCGUGUCGUGAGAUGUUGGGUUAAGUCCCGCAACGAGCGCAACCCUCGUGUUUAGUUGCUAACAGUUCGGCUGAGAACUCCAAACAGACUGCCUACGCAAGUAGGAGGAAGGUGAGGACGACGUCAAGUCAUCAUGGCCCUUACGGCCAGGGCUACACACGUGCUACAAUGGGGUAUACAAAGAGCAGCGAUACGGUGACGUGGAGCAAAUCUAGAAAAUGCCUCUCAGUUCGGAUUGUAGUCUGCAACUCGACUACAUGAAGUUGGAAUCGCUAGUAAUCGUAGAUCAGCAUGCCGCGGUGAAUACGUUCCCGGGCCUU
rnacentral:rRNA from 1 species